ACAACCGGUACGCCUAAUCCCGGGCGCCCCGCCCGGGAGCCGGGGACCCAAUCACGCACCUGGGGUCAAGGCAGUGACCUGCCCGGGCUUCUCCAGCCCGAACCCGUCAGCUAACCCGGUCGGCAGAUGGAGAGGAGUG
rnacentral:sRNA from 1 species